rnacentral:lncRNA from 1 species
GACAUGCAUCACUAGGAUUAUAACCUUCUAAGGUCGGGUGAGCUUUAUGAACAAAGACUUGCGUAUCACAAGGUUCAAGCCCAAGAAUUUCCCGAAUAAGAGUUUUAGUGACGGUGAUCCUUACAUUUUUAAUUAAACAAGAGAUACUAUCGGAACGUGGUGUAAUAACCAUUUUUGUGUAAAAAGUUUUCAUAAGUUGAGGAUAAGCAUUUUUUUCCGACGAACAUACCAAAAUCCAUCUCAUAUUUUCAAAGAAUUCUUGAAUGUGAAAAGCAGAUGCUUCAACAGAAAAAGCCAAAAAAUCAACAUUUUUACCUAGUAGAAUGGGAGAUUUUUCAAGUGGGUUCACCGUCUCUUCGGGUUCAAAAUCCGUUUCUUCGUCGGAGGAGGGUGUUGGUGG